rnacentral:rRNA from 1 species
UAGGGAAUCUUCCGCAAUGGACGAAAGUCUGACGGAGCAACGCCGCGUGAGUGAAGAAGGAUUUCGGUUCGUAAAACUCUGUUGUUAGGGAAGAAAAAAUGUAUAGUAACUAUAUACAAAAGAGACGGUACCUAACCAGAAAGCCACGGCUAACUACGUGCCAGCAGCCGCGGUAAUACGUAGGUGGCAAGCGUUGUCCGGAAUUACUGGGCGUAAAGCGCACGUAGGCGGACUAUUAAGUCAGGGGUGAAAUCCCGGGGCUCAACCCCGGAACUGCCUUUGAUACUGGUAGUCUUGAGUUCGAGAGAGGUGAGUGGAAUUCCGAGUGUAGAGGUGAAAUUCGUAGAUAUUCGGAGGAACACCAGUGGCGAAGGCGGCUCACUGGCUCGAUACUGACGCUGAGGUGCGAAAGCGUGGGGAGCAAACAGG